rnacentral:tRNA from 1 species
GGCCCGUAGCUCAGUAAGGUUAGAGCGGCGGACUCUUAAUCCGUAGGUCGCGGGUUCAAUUCC